rnacentral:lncRNA from 1 species
GUUAAAGUUGGUCACAAUAAAUUUGGGGAGACAAGCCUUGAGAAUCGAGAUCCAACAUGGAAAAUAAGAUGAAUUGACUUCCCAGGCUGCAUGAGUAUUCACAUUUCUCAUUUGCAAUGGGUGCAGAAGGUUGAAGCAGCUGGAGAGCAUCUGUUCCCAGAGAAAAGGAUCCCCUCCCUCACGUCCCUCUCCUUGACACACCACACGAGGCACACACCACACACCCACUGUCAACUCAGUGGGUGUGCCCUUCCCACACCUGGCUUUCCACGUACCCUAUCAUCAACGUCCCCCACUCUCUCCCUCUCUCCCUGCGGUGUCCCCUCAUCUCUCAGCCUCUGCUCUGGGCAGGCUGGCCACUCCCAUCUCUUCACUGUAGCCUGUGCAUGGGGGCUCACCCAGGUUUACUGGGGCCUGAAUCAUGUUCAAUCUUUUAAAGAAGAUGAAUACAAAAUUACCAGUAUAAAAUUAAGUAUGAAAAUACAUAGAUGGAGAAUAUAACAAAGACUAUAAAGUUUUGAAAGCUGGAAAACAUCAAAUACAGUUUGUGUUCAUUGUUGCUUCUAAAUACUUCUCUCCCUCCUUUUUGGCUGCAGACUCGUCUCUUCAUAUCACAACGACAAUAAGUUUGAGAUACCAUUAUCCAUAGGAAACAUAGAAAGAGACUUUCGGCUUUUUUCUAGCAUGGUUGGUCAUUUAUUUUUUAUUUUUAUUUUUUUAAAAGCAAGCACUUUCUUUUUUUUUUAAGUUUUUUGUUUUUGUUUUUUUAUUUAUAGAGACACAGAAAGAGAGGCAGAGACAGAAGCAGGCUCCAUGCAGGGAGCCCGACGUAGGACUCAAUCUCAGGUCUCCAGGAUCACGCCCUGGGCUGCAGGCAGCGCUAAACCGCUGCACCACUGGGGCUGCCCAUGGUUGGUCAUUUAGAAAAGCAUAUUUAGCUUCAUGACCUGUCAUUAGUAAUGUCUUGCUAAGACAUAGCCCCAUACGUUAGAAUGCAUGAGUCAUACAGCUUCACAUGCACACAUACUCACUGUUGUUUUAUUUAUUUAUUUAAAAAAGAUUUUAUUUAUUCAUGAGAGACACAGAGAGAGAGGCAGAGACACAGGCAGAGGGAGAAGCAGGCUCCCUGUGGGGAGCCUCACGUGGGACUCGAGCCCAGGACCCCAGGAUCAUGCCCUGAGCAGAAGGCAGAUGCUCAACUGCAGAGCAACCCAGGCGUCCCCUCACUGUUGUUUUAAUCUUACAGGAUUAAAUCCACAGGAAUCUAGAUAAAUUUCAUUUUUCCACAUUUUCCAUCAAAGAAGGAAAGCAUGUAUAUAAAGGAUGUUUAUGUAGCUGUAGCUGGUAUAUUCCUGAUAGGCGAGAAUUUACAUUUUGGCUGGAAGUCAAUAAUUCAAUCCCCCACUUCACCAUUCUACACGUCUCAUGACUGGAAGCAUCUUCCAGCAGACCGGCAUUUGGCCCUGUAUGAUUCUGUUUGUUUCCAACUCGUUUCCCCUCCACUCCCCAUG